rnacentral:rRNA from 1 species
CAGUAGCCGCGGUAAUGCGAAGGGGGCUAGCGUUGUUCGGAUUUACUGGGCGUAAAGGGUGCGUAGGCGGAUUGUUAAGUCAGGGGUGAAAUCCCGAGGCUCAACCUCGGAACUGCCUUUGAUACUGGCGAUCUUGAGUCCGGGAGAGGUGAGUGGAACUGCGAGUGUAGAGGUGAAAUUCGUAGAUAUUCGCAAGAACACCGGUGGCGUAGGCGGCUCACUGGCCCGGUACUGACGCUGAGGCACGAAAGCGUGGGGAGCAAACAGGAUUAGAUACCCCUGUAGUCCCUGUCUCUUAUAC